rnacentral:lncRNA from 1 species
CUCUCUCUCUCUCUAGAGAGGGGCGUCAAUAUCACGCGCCUCUUCUUAGUUCUAGUUUGCUUAAUGAAUUCUCAAAUAGUAGAUGUCUUCUCAAGCCGCGUGUGGCGCUCCUCCUAGGAAAUAUUAAGCUGCAUCAUACAUGUAGAUCCACUUCUUUCUAGUUUUCUAACAAAAUGGGCUAUCGCAGGCCAUGGAUGCUGGCGCAUAUAGAAUGAUACCAAGAUUGGGGGUUAUAUAUAUAGAUUGGCGCAUUUGACCGGUUAACAAGUAUAAGCGAGGGGCAUGUGCAAAAUCCAAGGGGAAAUUUGCAAAAUUCAACUAAUAGUUGAAGCAGCUACCGAACUCUAUAUGCAUUAUUGCUUUACGUUUACAUCAUUUAAGCAUUGUGAAUGAGCAACUUUAAAUGAUUCAACAUGAUCGAGGGGUAUGUGCUUGACGGGGCAGCUGGACACUACUCCUUUUCACACCUGUCCCAAAAUGGAGAAUGCUUUGAGUCAACAUGAUGACUACCGGAGGCAUGCGAUAUCCGGUCCUAUAAUGUUUACCUCGGUUCAUAUUGCUCUUCUCAUUCCCCAUAAAAUGUGACAAUCCCUGACGAAUAGGAACAUGAUCGAAUUUUAUAGAUACAUCAAUGUGUGCCAUCAUAGAGUUUCAACGUGAUUGGAACGUAUCCCCGUGCCAAUCAUGCUUUGGCAUUUUCCCCUCAUGCUUUCUACUGAGAGGAAUGCUGUGGUUCUCAGACAUACGAGCUGAUUAGCUUGAACCAGACCAUAUGCUGACCAGGGUGGACAAAAUUGAUUUUGUAUGGAUUCCAGUUCGACAGGAAACUUGCUAAAUUCAACUAAUAGUUGUGGCAACUACUAAGCUCUAUAGGCAUCAUUAUUGCAUUACGUUUACUUCCUUUUAUGCAACUUUAAAUGAUUCAAUAUGCUUUUUUUCCAUACAUUCGCAUACGCACAAUACAACAAAUGGGCUGACGAAAAGUUUAGCCCGUCGUGCAUAAUGCGGUAAAUCGGUCUCUCCACGGUUUAAAGACAGGCCAAGACAUCAUCACAAACCAUUUCUAUUAGACUCGUUGAAAAGGAUGUUAACCAUCAGGACUGGAAUACACAGAACUACCGAGUUACACUCUUCAGAAACCAGACAUCAUUUUCAUAUCUCGUGACACCAAUCUUCCCUUCCGAUUAUGGUCCUCGGAAGUUCAUGAGCACUUGGUGGUUUGUUUUCCAUCAUCACAUUAGCUUCUAAUUUACAAUAACUAUACACGUAAGAAAAACGUAAAAUCUAGUAUUUUAAAGUGCACACCACCUUCGGCGACGCCACAAAGAAUAGAUGAAUCGUCAGAACACAGAUUGGAAGCCCCAGCGAGCAUCCUCCCUAUGAAAGUCUCCACGUACCGACCGAGCUUAGAGAACGUUCAGGAAGACGGCGAUCGUCGAGUGUUAGUACACAACAAUAUAGAGCCACAGAUCGGAUCCUUCACUGUGAAAGAAGGCAGACCGUGUCGGCAUCGAAGCUUUUUUAAAUAGAACCUAAACGAGAGGAAUCAUAGGUACUCCGAUUCUCACCGGAGAUCAUGCGUUCUACGAGAGCAUUCUGCUCAGACGCUCUCAACAAAUACGAAGGCCGACCAACCGGAACACGCACGCUACGCCGGCGAUGGCGGCUACAGCCACUCAGUGGAAUGACGGGGACGACGCCUCGCAACCAGAAGAAAUUCUGAAUACACACCUUGUUACUGUGGGCACCAUAGCGAGCCGAGUGGCCAUGAAAGAAGAGGCGAGCACUGGCUUUCUGAGAUGCCUUUUUUCUCUUCAGAUCCUUCCCCGCCGCCGCCGCCGGGAACACCGGGCGAGAAAAUAAGAUCGCCGGAAGCGACGACAACGUACUUACGACGGGGCCGGAGCCGGCGGGGGAGUGAACCCCCUCCUCCGCCUCCGACGCCGCCGAUCUCGGAGGGAUCUAGGGUUUUAGUUCCUCGCCCUCUCGCUCCAAUGAUAUUUAUA